UCAUUCUUGGAGGACCCGUUAUAACCAAUAUUUUGAUGGUAAGUCCGAUCGACGUCCGCCACCUAAGGAGUUAAGUGGAGCAGAAAUUUUAGAACAACUUGAAGUCAAUAAAAAUAUCUAAUUUGGAAAAACAUCGGAUACUCGCAAGCGAAAACGUAUUGAAGCUGAACAGAAUUGGAUGAAGCGAAGUAUCUUUUUCGAACUACCGUAUUGGAAGC
rnacentral:lncRNA from 1 species